AGUGUUGUGUGCGAAAAAUCUGGCCAAGAAGGAUUUCUUCAGAUUACCUGACCCUUUUGCCAAAAUUAUUGUAGAUGGCUCCGGACAGUGUCAUUCAACAGACACAGUGAAAAAUACGCUUGAUCCAAAAUGGAACCAACACUAUGACUUGUACAUUGGAAAAGCAGAUUCAAUUACUAUAAGCAUAUGGAAUCACAAGAAAAUACAUAAGAAACAGGGAGCUGGCUUCCUGGGCUGUGUUCGGCUGCUAUCAAAUGCCAUCAGUAGGCUAAAGGACA